CGAGCGUUGUCCGGAAUUACUGGGCGUAAAGAGCUCGUAGGUGGUUUGUCGCGUUGUUCGUGAAAUCUCACGGCUUAACUGUGAGCGUGCGGGCGAUACGGGCAGACUUGAGUACUGCAGGGGAGACUGGAAUUCCUGGUGUAGCGGUGGAAUGCGCAGAUAUCAGGAGGAACACCGGUGGCGAAGGCGGGUCUCUGGGCAGUAACUGACGCUGAGGAGCGAAAGCGUGGGGAGCGAACAGGAUUAGAUACCCUGGUAGUCCACGCCGUAAACGGUGGGUACUAGGUGUGGGUUUCCUUCCUUGGGAUCCGUGCCGUAGCUAACGCAUUAAGUACCCCGCCUGGGGAGUACGGCCGCAAGGCUAAAACUCAAAGAAAUUGACGGGGGCCCGCACAAGCGGCGGAGCAUGUGGAUUAAUUCGAUGCAACGCGAAGAACCUUACCUGGGUUUGACAUGCACAGGACGCCGGCAGAGAUGUCGGUUCCCUUGUGGCCUGUGUGCAGGUGGUGCAUGGCUGUCGUCAGCUCGUGUCGUGAGAUGUUGGGUUAAGUCCCGCAACGAGCGCAACCCUUGUCUCAUGUUGCCAGCGGGUAAUGCCGGGGACUCGUGAGAGACUGCCGGGGUCAACUCGGAGGAAGGUGGGGAUGACGUCAAGUCAUCAUGCCCCUUAUGUCCAGGGCUUCACACAUGCUACAAUGGCCGGUACAAAGGGCUGCGAUGCCGCGAGGUUAAGCGAAUCCUUUUAAAGCCGGUCUCAGUUCGGAUCGGGGUCUGCAACUCGACCCCGUGAAGUCGGAGUCGCUAGUAAUCGCAGAU
rnacentral:rRNA from 1 species